UACGGGGCGCGUUUGCUCAGCGCUUAGAACAGACACCAGCGCACAGAGAAGACCACAGCACUCAACAUCUCUCCAGCUUUUGGAAACAUGAUUGGACCUCAGAGUACCGAAGUAGCCAAGCGUCUGCUUCAGCAUAACAUCCGGGUCCUCCGGAACGUGUCACAUGACCUGGAGGAGCGGGAGAAGCGAUUGGUCAGGAUGAGAACGAGGCUGAGCCGGCUGGAGAGCGCUGGGACUCUGCUGAGUGUGAGAAAGCAGUCCACCACCAGACACCAAUAACCGUGGAGAGGGGCAGUUUCAAAUUCAAAACACCGGGGAAAUCGUGUUGAUAUACAUGUAGGACGUUCUACGUGACUGGAUAUUAUGUAUCUAUUUGAAUUUGAUACGUUGGUGCUCGCAGUAGACAAACAUGUUAUAUAUACAAAUAUCCAGUCCUUGCGUUUUUGAAAGGUAUAAUUUGAUAAUCCCUAUCUGUGCUUUAUAGGUUCAUAUGUAAUGCGAGACUUGUAAUCACUUUAUAAUUAAGCUUGGAAAUAAUGCUACAUUAUGUAAAACUAGAUAAGUAAUGUACGUCGAUGAAGGUUAGACAUCCAGGUAAUACGAUACGCCAAAAAGCUGAGUAACUGCUUUUUGGCGUAAAUAACUAAUGCAUGAUGCUUUUAUCCAAUUGAUAAUUACCUACCACCGACUGACUAUUUAUCCAAUGCCCUGUCUAGAAAUGAGAGAGACAGUCGGAAUCUAUAAUCGUAAUCUGAGUCAUGUAUAAACACGACAGACGUGGAUCAUAUUUCAGAGAUGCCACUCAGAAUGCUUCCUAUUUAAGCGUAGGGCCCUAUUACUCUCCAAGCAGAGGUUGUGGGGGAAUGAUCGUUAGCUUUUUAACACUUUAUAUAUGGUCGUUUUUUUUGUCGCUACCUUCUCUGGCUAAUGGAUACUGCCUGGCCAAUUUGAUACUGUAUUUUUGCCACCGAAAGAGAUCUGCUUGGAGAUUAGGGCCCUAUAACAUUUAUCUGUGGAGUCCAGACGGACUCAGUCAUCGUGCUAUAAUGUUAGCCGCUGUGUUCAUACUGGUUUAUUUCUUCCAGACUGUACGGUACAGAGUAGCAGGGUCACCGUAGGACCCCGAAGUGAUCUGCCGCAUUACACAGGUUAUUAAAAACGGUUGGCACAGAUAUUGAAAGCAAUUAGUAAAAACAGUUAAAAACUGAUAGGGGCCUAUCUGCGACUGUCUGCGAUUGUUAGACGCACUCAGUCAUUUUAAUGUAAUGUUAGCCACUUUGUCGACAGCUGUACACUCAUAUAUAGAUGCAGCAACACGUCGAAGACGAUUGAUAC